UCAAACAUAAAUUCAUCACUAGUUCUUGUUCAAAUAAAAGAGUAUGCAUAACCUAAAGAAUCUUGGGAUCUUGUUCUUGCUUUUCACCAUCUUUGGUUCAUCCACUUGCAUAAGAGAUUUUGGCUUUCGAUCAGAUAUUCAUUAUUCUCAAAAGUAUACAAAGGUGUUUGGUACACUUGGAGUGGAGUGCAAGUGUUGUGAUGGAGCAUCAAGUGAUGAAGAUUGCAAAAGCAUAUGGGAAGGAUCUUGUUCCAAGCUACAAUGCCUCCCAUGGAAACAACAUCAUCCAAAAGUUACAUCACAUUCAAAUACAUGAAUCUUGAUUAGUUGUUUAUCAUUUUUAAUUUGGGUAUUAUUUUUUAUUUCAUAAUAAAUGUGGAAUUGGAAAUAAAUAGUGAAAAAAUAAAAUUUAAACGAUAUAAACGAUUUGUACAUGAAAAUUAAAAGAUGUGUUUAUUUUCGUA